GUUUCCAUAGUGUAGUGGUUAUCACGCUCGCUUCACACGCGAGAUGCCCUGUGUUCAAGCCCCAGUGGAAACA
rnacentral:tRNA from 1 species